UGCUGCAUGGCUGUCGUCAGCUCGUGUCGUGAGAUGUUGGGUUAAGUCCCGCAACGAGCGCAACCCUUGUCUUUAAUUGCCAUCAUUUAGUUGGGCACUUUAAAGAGACUGCCGGUGUUAAGCCGGAGGAAGGUGGGGAUGACGUCAAGUCCUCAUGGCCUUUAUGCCCAGGGCUACACACGUACUACAAUGGCCGUUACAACGGGAAGCGAAGGAGCAAUCCGGAGCAAAUCCCUUAAAGGCGGUCCCAGUUCAGAUUGUGGGCUGAAACUCGCCCACAUGAAGGCGGAAUCGCUAGUAAUCGCAGGUCAGCAUACUGCGGUGAAUACGUUCCCGGGCCUU
rnacentral:rRNA from 1 species